UCCCCAAGAACACAAGUCCGUAGUUUGCAUUCUUGGUAUUGAGAAACGCCCAUGGUCUCCAGAGGGGUUGGUGAGAUACUGAAGGUUGGAAGGAACAGCUGUAACAGGUGCCUCCUUUUCCAUCGGGGCAUCACUGUCACUUAUUGGUUUGCUUUCAGACGAAAGCUGAAAUCCAUCUUUUGUUCUGCUUCUUUCAGUGCAGACAGUAACCCAGGGAUUGUUCGUGAGUAUUUGUAUUUGAUCUAGAGGGGCAGCUAAAUUUGGGGCUAUGUAUGUAGAACCUUCUGCAUUUUUUGUCAUUCAUGUUUCUGUGAUUGAACCAGAAGUUUGACAAAAAUUGUAGUCAGGGAGAUCACUGGUAGAAGCAAUAAUAAGGGAAUCUUUCUCAUGUAGUUUCCUUUUUCCGGAAAUAUAUUUUCCAGAUUUAAGGGACUUAAAAGAUGACUUAAGAGAAUACAAUUCCCCAGAGAUUUGUUUUAAAGGCAUGUCUGGUGAGCUAUUUGCUGCCGUGAAGAUCUUGUGAAGAUCGAGCUGAUCCCAAUCACACAUUCCUACGGGAGCCGUGGUGGAUGAGAAGAAAUAUGGUUCAGAAUGUCUAGAGUGUGCCGUAUUGGUCGAAAAAUUUUGGGUUUCCUUUAAAUUCGGGCAAAUUGAGAAUGUGGAAACGGGACUUAGAAGAACGAGGAAAAACUAAUGAAAAAAGACAAAAUUAAGACUACUUAAGCUACUGAGUACGGGAAAAACAAAAGAAUGUUUUAACAUAUGGAUAAAAGAGGUAGUGAUUCAGGGAAAGAAUGCAAAGACACACAUACACCAAUAACCUCCUCAUCAGUUCUACAACCUAACCAAAGCCCAUGUUCUGAGCUUUCUCUAAAAACCAGGAAGACGAGCUGGAAAAACGGAGGGACGAAGAGGACAAAGACUCAACUCUCGGACAGGACUGACAGCAUCCGUCACACCUGCAUCGGGUGGAAAGACCAACGAGUACGUGAGAAAACCAUGUUUGAAGCGUUUGUCUGCAGGUUACAACAGGUUGGUGGGCAACAUAUGGAGCGCGGACCCGAAAAAGGCCGCUCUCACGAAGGACGUGGUCGAGCCAGAGAGGCCCCAGACACGGCUGGGGAGGCUGAGGCGGGUACCGUGGGCAAAAUAAUGAGCCCUACAAGCCAGACCAGGGUUUGUACUGCAAGGACUUCGGACAUUGGGUUAUAAAACUGCGAUUAGGAGCAGGGGACAGAGGACCCAAAUGCAGGGAGAGGCAGGCAGGCAGGAGAAGGUAAGAAGAUCUCAGUCGUUGUCCUGGGAAGUGAAGAUCAUUUGAAGAAAUCCCUAAUAACCAUCAUUCUAGGGAAAGAGUUAUCUCUGCUGCCCAAAACAAAUGAAAAUGAUACGUAUGAGGUCAAAUGUCCACCAGAUACAGCUGAUGACUUAAAAAAAGUAUUUGCUGCUAAUCAACACCCACACAUGUCUUUGUUGGUGGUAAAUAAAGGGUUUUCAGCAGACAAGGUGUGGCAGCAGGUAGAAAAUCUGCACACAGUAACUGGAAAACCCCCAGAGGAGUUCAUAGUUGUGCUGCCCUUCGGCUAUAGGGAGUCAGAUUGUUACCCAUUCAAAUGCUACACGGUGGAUCACGUUUUCAGUAAACUGACCCACCUGGCUGAAGACAGACAUCUGAUGGCCACCAACGCGAGGUAAAGGUGAAAGGAGAAACAUGUAGAUGCAGGAUUGGACAUAAGGUAACCUCCUAAUCCUAAAGUAACUAAGUAGUACUAAAUACAUGUGUCACAUAAAUGUAGAGGAGUAAAAAGUACACUAGGAGUAGAAAUAUGAAGUAUACUGUAUAAUGAAACAGCUGACUAUCUUUCCUGGGCCCGGGACGAGAAACUCUUAGAUGGGGGUUGGGGGGGUUUUUGACCACUAUUUCAAGGACAAUUAGGAAAAAAACGAAUUAAAAGUUUUUAUGUAACUCCACAAAAAGGCCUAUAUAUAUUUUGUUUUUUUAUUAUUCCAUAAUUUAAUGAGGGCCCAGUUCUGCCCCCCUACCCUGGGCCCGAGACAACAGACCCGAUGGUCUAUCGGUGGGCGUGAUGAAAACACUUCAGACUUUUACAGUACUUAAGUAAAUGUACUUUGUUGUCUCUCCACCACUGAUAUGAACAACAUACUUUCAUGUUUGUGUACAAAAAAUGGAAAAUUUGUAGAUAUUCUGAUGUAAUAUUUUGGGUUACAUCUGUAUUAUUUUAGCCUAAAAUGGUUUUAGAUGAAUAGUUCUCAUAUUUUCUAGAUGAAUGUACCACUGAUGUUGUUAUUUGAAAAGGCUACUAGAUGAGAUGUAAAUUACCCUGAGUGACCUCUUCGUCUGAACAUUUGAAGCCUAUUUAAUAUCAAACCUCUCUGUUAAUAUAUAUUUAUAUUAAUGUUUCUCAUUGUGUUGAAUAACAUCCAACCACGUUGGAGCAAAGAAGAUUGAUGGAUGGCACUGUUGUCACAUUUAUAUUUAAUUAACUGAAUUAUCUUGAAUUCUUUUAAUAUUGUUGAUUUUAUCAACUAUAUUACUAAUAUAAAGUUGUUUUUACUUUAAUUUUGUGAGAUCUUGAGCCAUGCUGGCGGUCCAUGCCUUCUGAUGCUUUAACUUUUACUCUGGCGCCACCAUGAGGUUGAUAUUUGCGUAAAAUGUCUGGACAACUAUCAGAUGGGUUUCUAUGAUGCAGAUAUUCAAUUGCAAAUAAAAGCUAAUAUUCUAUCA